UUGCUUGCUUGGGCAGCACACACAUUAAAACUAGAAUGAUACAGAGAAGAUUAGCAUGGCCCCUGUUCAAGGAUAAAGUGAAGUAACUGCUACUCGUGUUAACUGUCU
ensembl:snRNA U6 U6 spliceosomal RNA